UCCUAAUGUAGCCUGAACCGCUUAUUCAAGAUUCCAACAUCUGUAGCUCCUCGUCUCCACUAUUACAUUUUGGAGACACCGCCCAAAUUGCUGAUUUUGUUCGUUCCCUUGGCUACCUGCUCAGCAAAUCCCUGCCACCCACGGUAGAGCUCCCAUUAAUCUUAUCACCCCAUGUAUGGCACCUUCUCCCACACACAGCAACCCUGCUUACUACCCAUUGUCCUGUAACCUUCUUAUCAUGUUGACCUAAACUACAAUGGAACUUGCAGUGCAAGAAAGCAACCCAGCAUUCUGCUCUGCACAACCGGUGGAAUCAC